rnacentral:tRNA from 1 species
GGCUCAGUUGGUUUAGAGCACCUGCCUUACAAGCAGGGGGUCGGGGGUUCGAAUCCCUCA